rnacentral:tRNA from 1 species
GCGGUCGGUUGGGGCGGUUUGGGUUGUUGCCUUUUGGUGGAGGGGGCGGGGAGGGGGGCGGUGCGGUUGCCGCCCCGUCGGCA